rnacentral:rRNA from 1 species
GAUGAACGCUAGCGGCAGGCCUAACACAUGCAAGUCAGGGGUAACAUAGGAAAGCUUGCUUUUCUGAUGACGACCGGCGCACGGGUGCGUAACGCGUAUACAACCUACCUUUUAGCGGGGAAUAGCCCACGGGAAACUUGGAUUAAUGCCCCAUAGUAUAUAGACUUCUCCUGAAGUUUAUAUUAAACAUUUAUGGCUAUUAGAUGAGUAUGCGUCCUAUUAGUUAGUUGGUAAGGUAACGGCUUACCAAGGCAGCGAUAGGUAGGGGUCCUGAGAGGAGAUCCCCACACUGGUACUGAGACACGGACCAGACUCCUACGGGAGGCAGCAGUGAGGAAUAUUGGACAAUGGGCGAGAGCCUGAUCCAGCCAUGCCGCGUGCAGGAAGACUGCCCUAUGGGUUGUAAACUGCUUUUACAGAGGAAGAACCACCCCCACGUGUGGGGGUUUGACGGUACUCUGCGAAUAAGGAUCGGCUAACUCCGUG